ACCAUGGGGGCCGGCUCAAUAACCGAAUCGGGUCCGGAAUGACUUGGAAUAUUCCUUUCUUCUCCUUCUUCCAAGUUCCAAAUAAUACAAAAUUAGGAAAUUUCCUCCAACGGCUCAUUUUGCUACUUCCCAACUCAAAACUACUCCCCUCUUCAUCUCCUUCCUCCUUGGUAGAACACAGAGCUAACCUGAUUUAGAAAUGGAUUACAAAAUAGCAACCAUCAAAGUUCUUACGAGAAGAAAUGCGUCGUCGUCGUCGCUGAUUAUGUGAACCAAUCAAGUGAUUGUACAAUGACAGAGUCAACGAAACUGAAGCGGUUCGUCUACAUCAACGAUGAUGAAUCGCAGCCCACACGGGAUCUUUUCUGUGAUAAUCGCAUUUCGAAUAGGAAAUACACUCCCCUCAAUUUCCUCCCUAAAAAUCUCAUGGAGCAGUUCAGCUUGUACAGAUCUUAAAAUCAUGUGACUAUAGGACUUUGGCAAUUGGUGAUGGUGGGAAUGAUAUGAGAAUGAUACAACAAGCUGACAUUGGGGUUGGCAUUAGUGGGAGAGAAGGACUGCAGGCAGCUGAUUAUAGUAUUGGAAGUGAGUAUUUAUUUUUUUUACUGUGUGCAAGUCAUGUCUCAGUCAUGUCAUGUUUGCGUUGCGUAUUUUAUUAAGAUAAGCUGGAUGCUUAAUGUACUGACUUGAGUUUGAAAACUUGUCUCUAGCUGCUUCUUGUUUCUGCAAAGGAACUGCUGUUGUACUUCCAGCCAGGCACCAGCCUGUUAAAACCAAAUCCUCUACCAUGUUUGGAUGCUAAUGUUUAUGCUAAUGGUUUCAAAAUAGUUGUUCUCUAGCUGUUGGACAUGAAUGAAACCUAUUUAAAUUUUAGGAACAUUAGGAUUUCUAUCAAAACUUGAAAGCAUUAAAUAAACUAAAUGAUGGUUAAUGGUUUAUGCUUAAUAGUAAGAUACAUGAUUUGACUAUUAGCGCACUUCAGAUUUGUAAUUGUGAGAAACAGAUCUACAUGAAGACACGAUCAAAGACUUGUACAUGGUUUCUGGAAUCAAGAUUUAUGAAGAAAUUGUUAUAACAAAGCCUAGAUGAGAGAUAUUGUUAGCU